rnacentral:rRNA from 1 species
UACAGAGGUCUCAAGCGUUGUUCGGAAUUACUGGGCGUAAAGGGCUCGUAGGCGGCCAACUAAGUCAUACGUGAAAUCCCUCAGCUUAACUGGGGAACUGCGUGUGAUACUGGAUGGCUUGGAUUGGGAGAGGGAUGCGGAAUUCCAGGUGUAGCGGUGAAAUGCGUAGAUAUCUGGAGGAACACCGGUGGCGAAGGCGGCAUCCUGGACCAAUAUUGACGCUGAGGAGCGAAAGCCAGGGGAGCAAAGCGGG